rnacentral:rRNA from 1 species
UACGGAGGGUGCAAGCGUUAUCCGGAUUCACUGGGUUUAAAGGGUGCGUAGGUGGGCAGGUAAGUCAGUGGUGAAAUCUCCGGGCUUAACCCGGAAACUGCCGUUGAUACUAUCUGUCUUGAAUGUAGUGGAGGUGAGCGGAAUAUGUCAUGUAGCGGUGAAAUGCUUAGAUAUGACAUAGAACACCAAUUGCGAAGGCAGCUGGCUACACGAAUAUUGACACUGAUGCACGAAAGCGUGGGGAUCAAACAGG